GGUGGGAUGGCCGAGUGGUGCAAGGUGGCUGACAUAGGUACGUAUUUCAUAAUCUCGUUUCUCGAAAGAGCCGUGGGCUCGAACCCCACUUCUAUCA